rnacentral:rRNA from 1 species
CCCUUAGAUGUUCUGGGCCGCACGCGCGCUACACUGACGAAUGCAACGAGCUUAUAACCUUGGCCGAAAGGUCUGGGUAAUCUCCAAAUUUCGUCGUGAUGGGGAUAGAUUAUUGCAAUUAUUAAUCUUCAACGAGGAAUGCCUAGUAAGCGCAAGUCAUCAGCUUGCGUUGAUUACGUCCCUGCCCUUUGUACACACCGCCCGUCGCUCCUACCGAUUGAAUGGUCCGGUGAAGCGUUCGGACCGUGGCCUUUGGACGGUUCGCCGUCUGUUGGCUGCGGGAAGUUCGUUAAACCUUAUCAUUUAGAGGAAGGUGAANUCGUAACA